rnacentral:rRNA from 1 species
UAUCUCUGUAGAGUCUGCAUAUCAAUAAGCGGAGGAAAAGAAACUAACAAGGAUUCCCUUAGUAACGGCGAGUGAAGCGGGAAGAGCUCAGAUUUGAAAUCUUCAAGGUUCUACCUUGACGAAUUGUAGUUUAAAGAAGUGUUUUCUGUUAGAUGAGUAGCAAAAGUUCCUUGGAAUGGGACAUCAUAGAGGGUGAGAAUCCCGUAUUUGGUUAUUCAUUCUAGCUUUGUGAUACACUUUCAAAGAGUCGGAUUGUUUGGGAAUGCAGUCCAAAAUGGGUGGUAAAUUUCAUCUAAAGCUAAAUAUUGGCGAGAGACCGAUAGCGAACAAGUACCGUGAGGGAAAGAUGAAAAGAACUUUGAAAAGAGAGUUAAACAGUACGUGAAAUUGUCAAAAGGGAAGCGUUUGACACCAGUGUUGUUUUUCCGAAAAUCAAUUAAAAUUGAUUCAUGCCAGGUUGUAUUGACCUUAUCAGCUUGCAAUUUGGUUUUGGGUCUCUUUUUGAUGCACUUUUCGGUUAACAAGUCAACAUCAAUUUCCUUUGCUGUAAAAAGGUAAGAGGAAGGUGGCUUCAAUUUCGGUUGAAGUGUUUAUAGCCUUUUAUCUCCGCAGUCGGGGAGAUUGAGGUCUGCAGCGUAGAUCCUUCGGAGCUAGAUACGUUUAUGCUAAGUUAUAGCUUUUCAUAGACAACUUGUUGACUAUGUUUAGUCAUGUAGCUUACUCGUAAGUGCUAUUUUACCUACGCUUAGGAUGUUGAAGACUCUACAGAGAU